UAACAGAGUCACUACCGUCCUUACCCACAGCAGCAGGGUAGUCAGCCACAGUGCCAAGCUGACUGAGCAGCUUCUUGAGCAAUAACAAAGGCAACACAUGAGCCUCCAAGUGCUGCAGACAAACUACAGUGCCUCAGCUCACACCUAAAAGAACACAUUGUUCAAGUUUUCAUGCAAAUACUGCUUACUCUGAAGUCCACGACAGAAGAGCAAACUGAGCAGGACUGGAGUCUUCACAGGGAAAUUGCAGUUUCCCCAGCAAGGGCAGACUCUGAAGAGGAGGCUUAUUUUUCUUUAUGUCGUAAUGGCAAGGGAAGAAAAAGCAAGGAAGAAAAGACUCUAAUUGCAGCCUUCCACCAAUGCAGUCGCCAUCUGGUAACUCAAGAGACACAUGGAGCUGAAUUAUCUUAAUUAACGUGUUACAACAGUAUUUAAAAAAACUCUAUGCUUAUUAACACUCAGCUGUGAUUAGCCAACCAUGGAGGAAGCCUGCUAGUGCAACAUUAAUUAUGGGUCUUGUCUGUCUAUUAGAAAUAUGAUUUUUUCCCCAGUAGUUUAUCUCUCUCCUAAAAAGAAAACCAUUAGCAUCAAAACUUGCUCUAAAAUGCAAAUUAUAUUUACAUUUUAUAAGAGUCAAAAUGUUUAGGCUAUAUGUAGCUGCCACUGGGGCUUCUACAGUGCUACAGAUUGUCUGGAUAUAAAAUGUACUUCUCUCUGCCCCUUAGAAAGUCUUGCUUCAGUUAGGCAACUCCCACUCCCACCGAAAUUUUAGCAGAAAAAUACAUUUUACACCUUUCUUUCCCCCUCCAAAACAGGACAGACUUUGCUGUAUGCUAGGCAGUUGAAAAACCAAGACACAAAUUCCAGUUCUAACAAAAACCACAAGUGCGAAAGGAAGGUUUCUGCGAUGGAAAGCAGCAACCAAAACACAACUGCACUCCAGCAGCAGAUCUGUCUCCCCAGAAGAAUGCUACUCACUAUGACAACUGUAUUAUUUUCCCUGCAACAGGCCCACCUGUAAUGUGCUCCCCUCAGAUACAUUCCCAAAUGAUUCAGUCUGACAGGCCCUGAGACUAACAUUGCCAAGUUUUUCAGACUUGGUUCUGUGUUAUGUUUGUACAGGGCUGGCUGCAGCAGGGCUCUCAUCCACACCAGGCAUCCUGAACAUCAGCACACUACCAAAUUAUAAGACAAAAACCUAGUGGUUUUAAACAAAGCCAGGAUUGAUAAAUUAAUUCCAGAAACAUUAACAAGGAGGAGGAAACAAACCAGGAACAACUGCAGAAGUACUUUUAAGAUCUUCUGAUGAAGUAAUCUUAUUACUGCACAUA